UACGUAGGCAGCGAGCGUUGUUCGGAGUUACUGGGCGUAAAGCGUGCGUAGGCGGUGUCUUAAGUUUGUUGUGAAAUCUCCCGGCUUACCGGGAGGGUGCGGCGAAUACUGAGAUGCUGGAGUGCCGGAGAGGUAAGCGGAAUUCCUGGUGUAGCGGUGAAAUGCGUAGAUAUCAGGAGGAACACCUGCGGUGUAGACGGCUUACUGGACGGUAACUGACGCUGAGGCACGAAAGCGCUGGGUAGCAAACAGG
rnacentral:rRNA from 1 species